ACGGAGCAAACAUGACUGACAGC
rnacentral:piRNA from 1 species